GAUUUGAUUGUUCAGACAGACGACUCCUGUGAAUUGACAAUACUACCCUCUGUAAAAGUCAUUCCCUCUCAAUAAUCUUUCCAUAUAAAAAGGGUGUUAUUCUAUAGCUUAUAAACCAAAGAAAGAAGAUACUACUACACUUACUAAUUAAAUAGCUUAGUCUUAUAGUAUUAUAUAGUUUUAAGAAAAAAAAUACUACGAGUAUAGAUAUGGCACAGAAGGCAGAGAGACAUGUUAAAAAGAUUGGGUUUGAGGGCUUUGGAAGAAAGGGAAGGAAUAGUAUUAGUACUACUACUACCACUCUUUCAGAAGAACACCCAAUAUGUAAGUAUCGGUAUCAACCACAGCAGUACCAGGUUUUUCAGGUGGAUCCACUACUUUCUGCCACCACGGAGACGGUGGUUAUGAAGUUCUCCUACCAGCCUUCCAAUUUCUAUGGUGGUGGCGCAGGCGCACUGAUUAAGGAUUAUCCUUUGACAAAACCAUUACGUAUGGCUUAAUUGGUGUACGUAUAUAGUAGCACUAUUUAUGAAUAUAUAGUAGUGUACUACUAAUUAAUAUACUAGUAAGUUAUAUAUUACUAGUAUAAAUUAGCUAUUCAGCCUAUACUAGUAAGAAAUGGGCAGUUGGAUGUACUAUAUAUAUAUGUGUGUGUCAUGUGUGUGUGUCUUAAUUAGUGAUAGAAUUAAGUCGCGCCAGCCUCUCCUCCUCGGCUGCUCUUACGUGUUGUGCCGCUACGAGAGAGGCUAGUAGCUGAACUUUGUUAUGCAUGUUUGUGUUGUACAACUAAUACUACUAAAUAUUUACCUAUAAAUAAUUUCUCUCUCUCUCUCAU
rnacentral:lncRNA from 1 species